UACGUAGGGCGCAAGCGUUGUCCGGAAUUAUUGGGCGUAAAGAGCUCGUAGGCGGCCAGUUGCGUCUGCUGUGAAAUCCCGGGGCUCAACCCCGGGCGUGCAGUGGAUACGGGCUGGCUAGAGGCAGGCAGGGGAGAACGGAAUUCCCGGUGUAGCGGUGAAAUGCGCAGAUAUCGGGAGGAACACCUGUGGCGAAAGCGGCUCACUGGACCAUAACUGACGCUGAGGCACGAAAGCUAGGGGAGCAAACAGG
rnacentral:rRNA from 1 species